rnacentral:lncRNA from 13 species
AAGGAGAGAUGGAGAUAUAGUGAGUGUGGAGCAGGAAAAAAAGGUAGAGAGUAUGUGAGAUAAAUAUAGAUAAAAAUAUAUAUAUAUAGAGAGAGAGAGAGAGAGAGAGAGAGAGUGUUUUGGCAGUGUGGUCGUCUCACAUGAAGCUCAGCAUGCUGUGACCAUAUGCUAGUCCAGGUGGACUCUGUAUCCAGGCAACCGUAUCAAAGCAGCGGGGGCGGCCACUACUGAAUCAAGAGGACUUUUCAAACGGACGACUCAGUGGAGACAACACGGCUAUCAUCUGUCUUCAGGGGUAUGUUGUUGGGGCACAGCAGCAGGACGAGGGCCUUGGGUCACCGGAACACAUGGGAACCUUCCUGUAACACUCCAGGACCCUGCCUCUAGCCACCUGCCUAUCCCCGGGCACUGGAACACAUGGGAACCUUCCUGUAACACUCCAGGACCCUGCCUCUAACCACCUGCCUAUCCCCGGGCACUGGAACACAUGGGAACCUUCCUGUAACACUCCAGGACCCUGCCUCCAGCCACCUGCCUAUCCCCGGGCACUGGAACUACGGCAUUAUGAAACGACAUCAGGCACUUAAUUUCCCUUAGGCAAGAAUAUUGAAAUACCUAAUCAAAUCAUUAGGCAACAUAUUAAAAACCAAAUAGUAUGUGUUGAGUGAGAUAUGACAUCAUUAUCAAAUAUUGCUACUAUGAUUUAUUAUAGAACAUUGGCCUCUCCAUAAUGAGACAUUCAAAUUGUUCAAUUCAGUCAGUGCUUCAUAGAAAAUUCAGGAAGGUUCUGGACUGGUAAAAAAAAAAAUAUCCAUUGACGUAAAGUAAUCUAAUUGUGCUGAUGAAGGAGAGGAAAAUGAGCAGCAUUUGAAACAAGAAACACCAUUUGGUGGCAAAUUGCUAGUUUGUCAGCCAGUUGUUAAAGGGAACCAAUUUUCUGUGAAGACACAUUAAGCAAUUUUCCCCCAAGUGAUGAAUAUGUUGAAUGCGAAAAGGACGCAAGUCUUUCCGCUUCCAUUAUCCUCAACAUACUGUAUAUUCAAUAGAAUUUAGAUCAGUAACCCCAUUAAACACUUUUUAUAUAAAUCAUAUUUGCCUGGCUGGAUUUAUUUAACCAGAUCCGUCUGAGGAGAUGGCAGAAAGGGAGCUGGACUGUUAAUAAAGGAUUCAACUUUGGGAUUUCUUUUGCAUUUUUGGGCCCUCUGGAAUGCAGCCCAGACAGCCACACUGCCAAGAUCCUUAGAGCUCUAGCUGUCUC